rnacentral:rRNA from 1 species
GUGGGGAAUAUUGGACAAUGGGGGCAACCCUGAUCCAGCAAUGCCGCGUGUGUGAAGAAGGCCUUCGGGUUGUAAAGCACUUUCAGUAGGGAAGAAAAUCCCAAGCUUAAUACGCUUGGGCCUUGACGUUACCUACAGAAGAAGCACUGGCUAACUCUGUGCCAGCAGCCGCGGUAAUACAGAGAGUGCGAGCGUUAAUCGGAAUUACUGGGCGUAAAGCGCGCGUAGGUGGAUACUUAAGUCGGAUGUGAAAGCCCUGGGCUUAACCUGGGAACUGCAUUCGAAACUGGGUAUCUAGAGUAUAGUAGAGGGAAGUGGAAUUUCCGGUGUAGCGGUGAAAUGCGUAGAUAUCGGAAGGAACAUCAGUGGCGAUGGCGGCUUCCUGGACUAAUACUGACACUGAGGUGCGAAAGCGUGGGGAGCAAACAGG